rnacentral:rRNA from 1 species
AUGUCCCAUUUUAUUGGAGGGUCCUGGCCCCCUUAUACUAAGGACAGAGAGAUGGUUGUCUUGGGAGUCCUUCCCGGAUUCAGCUUCCUUUUUCUACUCCAAGUCAUCCACGCUUUCCAUGUUAGUGCCAUGUCUUUGGGCCUUGGGGGAGCAUUAGAGUGCCAAAGAGGGCUAACACGCGGUGAUAACUCCUUGAUGAUGGACCGUCCGAUGAUGAGAGUCGUCAUACAGAUGUUAAGCUUGCUUCGUCAGAUGAAGUUUAUCGUCUCUCAACGUCUAGCUAGCUUGAUAUCCCUAACCAUCAGCAUAUAUAACAAACCGAGGGUAGCUUGUGUAUACAAAAAAGAUCACCCAUGGCACGGCGUCUCACCUGGUGGUGAAGCUACACAUAGACAAAGCGGCUUGCCCUUGUUCGCGUCACCAUCGAGGCGCAGCGGAGCUACGCGUGGAGGUGGCGACCCAACAUGUGGCGUAGUUGUUAAUGUUCCUUUGAAGGUUUCAAGCAACCCUAAAUUUAUGUCGUACUUUCAGGAUUGUAUUGGAGCAAUUGAUGGGACGCAUGUUCCAAUUAGCAUAUCUCCGAGACUACAAGACCCAUAUCGCAAUAGAAAAGGAACAUUAUCACAAAAUGUCAUGGUGGCAUGUAAUUUUGAUAAUCAAUUCGUCCAUGUUAGUGCAGGCUGGGAAGGUUCAGCUUCUGAUGCUCGAGUGCUACAAGAUGCACUAGAAAAUAAUUUCUAUGUGCUAGAGGGAAAAUUUUAUUUGGUUGAUGCAGGAUAUGCAAAUACACCUAAUUUUAUUGCACCCUACCAAAAUGUCAGGUACCAUUUGAAUGAGCAAGCCAAAUGCAACCAAAGGCCACAAAAUGCUAAAGAGCUAUUCAAUCUCAGGCAUGCACAACUCCGUAAUCACAUCGAGCGCAUCAUUGGCGUUGUGAAGAAGCGUUUCCCGGUAUUGAAGUGUGCUUCACAUUACCCAAUUAAAUCUCAACCUGAUAUUGUCAUAGCAUGUUGUGCACUUCAUAACUUUAUUCGUAAUCACGAGGGGGGCGAACAAUGGUUUGACCAGGUUGGCUCCAAUAUUGACCCAAUACAUAUAGUUGAUAUUCCAAGUGGGGAUGCAAAAUACAGAAGUGAUGUACAGUCUCUCAAUGAGCGGCGUGCAUUGGGUCAUUCAAAAAGAGAUCAAAUUGCUGAAUCAAUGUGGAAAGACUACUGUGAGUAUCUCCAGGAGCGUGCUAGAAGAAAUAGCACAUGA